rnacentral:rRNA from 1 species
GAUGAACGCUGGCGGCGUGCCUAAUACAUGCAAGUCGAGCGAACGGACGAGAAGCUUGCUUCUCUGAUGUUAGCGGCGGACGGGUGAGUAACACGUGGAUAACCUACCUAUAAGACUGGGAUAACUUCGGGAAACCGGAGCUAAUACCGGAUAAUAUUUUGAACCGCAUGGUUCAAAAGUGAAAGACGGUCUUGCUGUCACUUAUAGAUGGAUCCGCGCUGCAUUAGCUAGUUGGUAAGGUAACGGCUUACCAAGGCAACGAUGCAUAGCCGACCUGAGAGGGUGAUCGGCCACACUGGAACUGAGACACGUUCCAGACUCCUACGGGAGGCAGCAGUAGGGAAUCUUCCGCAAUGGGCGAAAGCCUAACGGAGCAACGCCGCUUGAGUAGUGAAGGUCUUCGGAUCGUAAAACUCUGUUAUUAGGGAAGAACAUAUGUGUAAGUAACUGUGCACAUCUUGAGGGUACCUAAUCAGAAAGCCACGGCUAGCUUCGUG